rnacentral:rRNA from 1 species
AAACCAACAGGGAUUGCCCUAGUAACGGCGAGUGAAGCGGCAACAGCUCAAAUUUGAAAUCUGGCCUCGGCCCGAGUUGUAAUUUGCAGAGGAUGCUUCUGGCGCGGUGCCUCCUGAGUCCCCUGGAACGGGGCGCCACAGAGGGUGAGAGCCCCGUAUAGUUGGACGCCAAGCCUGUGUGAAGCUCCUUCGACGAGUCGAGUAGUUUGGGAAUGCUGCUCUAAAUGGGAGGUAAAUUCCUUCUAAAGCUAAAUACCGGCCAGAGACCGAUAGCGCACAAGUAGAGUGAUCGAAAGAUGAAAAGCACUUUGAAAAGAGAGUCAAACAGCACGUGAAAUUGUUGAAAGGGAAGCGCUUCUGACCAGACUCGUGCCGGGCCGAUCCGCCAGCGUUCUCGCUGGCGUACUCGGUCCGGCCCGGGCCAGCAUCGGUUUCCGUAGGGGGAUAAAAGCGCCGGGAAUGUGGCUCUCCCGGGAGCGUUAUAGCCCGGCGCAUAAUACCCUUGUGGGGACCGAGGACCGCGAUUACGAGGAUGCUGGCGUAAUGGUUAGCAACGACCCGUCUUGAAACACGGACCAAGGAGUCAAGGUCUUGCGCGAGUGUUUGGGUGUAAAACCCGCACGCGUAAUGAAAGUGAACGUAGGUGAGAGCUUCGGCGCAUCACCGACCGAUCCUGAAGUUUACGGAUGGAUUUGAGUAAGAGCGUAGUGCCUUGGACCCGAAAGAUGGUGAACUAUGCUUGGAUAGGGUGAAGCCAGAGGAAACUCUGGUGGAGGCUCGCAGCGGUUCUGACGUGCAAAUCGAUCGUCAAAUCUGAGCAUGGGGCGAAAGACUAAUCG